UACAGAGGUCUCAAGCGUUGUUCGGAUUCAUUGGGCGUAAAGGGUGCGUAGGCGGCGCGGUAAGUCGGGUGUGAAAUCUCGGGGCUUAACUCCGAAACUGCAUUCGAUACUGCCGUGCUUGAGGACUGGAGAGGAGACUGGAAUUUACGGUGUAGCGGUGAAAUGCGCAGAUAUCAGGAAGAACACCCGUGGCGAAGGCGGUUCUCUGGGACGGUACUGACGCUGGAGACGCGAAAGCGUGGGGAGCGAACAGG
rnacentral:rRNA from 1 species